GAGUUUGAUCGUGGCUCAGGAUGAACGCUGGCGGCGUGCCUAAUACAUGCAAGUCGGGCGAACGGACGAGAAGCUUGCUUCUCUGAUGUUAGCGGCGGACGGGUGAGUAACACGUGGAUAACCUACCUAUAAGACUGGGAUAACUUCGGGAAACCGGAGCUAAUACCGGAUAAUAUUUUGUAACCGCAUGGUUCAAAAGUAGAAAGACGGUCUUGCUGUCACUUAUAGAUGGAUCCGCGCUGCAUUAG
rnacentral:rRNA from 1 species